AGUAGUGUCUGGGAAACUGCCUGAUGGAGGGGGAUAACUACUGGAAACGGUAGCUAAUACCGCAUAAUGUCGCAAGACCAAAGAGGGGGACCUUCGGGCCUCUUGCCAUCGGAUGUGCCCAGAUGGGAUUAGCUAGUAGGUGGGGUAACGGCUCACCUAGGCGACGAUCCCUAGCUGGUCUGAGAGGAUGACCAGCCACACUGGAACUGAGACACGGUCCAGACUCCUACGGGAGGCAGCAGUGGGGAAUAUUGCACAAUGGGCGCAAGCCUGAUGCAGCCAUGCCGCGUGUAUGAAGAAGGCCUUCGGGUUGUAAAGUACUUUCAGCGGGGAGGAAGGCGAUAAGGUUAAUAACCUUGUCGAUUGACGUUACCCGCAGAAGAAGCACCGGCUAACUCCGUGCCAGCAGCCGCGGUAAUACGGAGGCUGCAAGCGUUAAUCGUAAUUACUG
rnacentral:rRNA from 1 species